rnacentral:rRNA from 1 species
GACGAACGCUGGCGGCGUGCCUAAUACAUGCAAGUAGGACGCAGUUGCGAACGGGUGAGUAACGCGUAGGUAACUACCUAUUAGAGGGGGAUAACUAUUGGAAACGAUAGCUAAUCCCGCAUACUAGUAGAUGGACCUGCGUUGUAUUAGCUAGUAGGUAGGGUAAUGGCCUACCUAGGCAAUGAUACAUAGCCGACCUGGGAGGGUGAUAGGCACCACCGGGCCUGAGACACGGGCCAGACUCCUGCGGGAGGCAGCCAUAGGGAAACUUCGGCAAUGGGGGGAACCCUGACCGAGCAACGCCGCGUGAGUGAAGAAGGUUUUCGGGUCGUAAAGCUCUGUUGUUAAGGAAGCGGUACUUAACCAGAAAGGGACGGCUAACUACGUGCCAGCAGCCGCGGUAAUAC